rnacentral:lncRNA from 1 species
CUUAAAUAGUAAUAGAUAGUUCAGCUUAAUUAUUAUAUGUGGUUGCUUACUGAGAACUCUUCAGCACUGCAAGUGAGUUAACAGUUCAGAACUGUUACAUGCAUAAAUACAUGAGGAAAAAUUAAUCACAAGUGCCAAACCUCUGGGAAUUUUACAAAGCAUUGUCCUAGUCACAAUUUCCCAUAAGGAAUCCUUAAAGCAUUUUACAAACUGUGUAGCACAUAAUACGAUUUUGAAAGGAAAAAAAGAAGGAAAAUAUUCCUGGCUGCAGUUGGUGAGAGUUGAGGAUGUGUCAAUGGCAAAGUGCAACACAACUGUACAAGAACUGAAAUUGGAGGGGCAAUGGUGUAUUACUAAAGGUAAUACAUAUUCUCUUUCUUUCAGUUUUAGUACCUGUUGCUCCUCUCUAUAUUUCUUUACUUCUGUAGAAGACCUGUUUCUAAUUUGUAGGAUUCAUUGGUACUGUUAAGGAGGUGGCAGCUCUUCCUUCAGUGUUGUUAUAAGGGCUAAGCUUUGCAUGUCUGCAGGGGAGAGCAGGACAAGUUUAAGGAAUAGAAAUGCAUAAAUACUUGCUAAAUACUUAGAAGCUACUUGUGGCUCAGAAAUGUCAUGAGCUGAAAAUAGGUAGAGGGUGAGAAAAUGUUAGGAGAAUGUGCCAUAUAUUCUUGCCCUAUUAUUCUUUAGGUGCUCUUAGACAUUGCAGCAAUCAGGUUAAUCAGUUAGAUGGACCUUUGGCCUGGCUUCUCAGUAUAAAUUGUGACUCAUUUAUCUUGAAACAUGAAAUUAAGCCAUAUAUUUAAGCUUCUUCAUUGUUAGGCUUUCUACAUUGACGCCCAAAGGAACUCUUCAACAAUAUAGCACAUCCAGUAUAAUCCUGUUUGGGACAGCAGUAUAGCAGAUGCUUUUAAACUGGAAAAAUAAAAAAUAAAAAAGUAUGGGAAAUAGCA